UUCAUGCAAAAAAAAUAGCUC
ensembl:piRNA 21ur-8442 ncRNA